GCUUUCGUGGUGUAGUGGUCAGCACACUGGGCGCAUAUUCCAGAGGUUCGUGGUUCGAGUCCCGGCGAAGGCG
rnacentral:tRNA from 1 species